GUGGGGAAUAUUGGACAAUGGGCGAAAGCCUGAUCCAGCCAUGCCGCGUGUGUGAAGAAGGUCUUCGGAUUGUAAAGCACUUUAAGUUGGGAGGAAGGGCAGUAAGUUAAUACCUUGCUGUUUUGACGUUACCGACAGAAUAAGCACCGGCUAACUUCGUGCCAGCAGCCGCGGUAAUACGAAGGGUGCAAGCGUUAAUCGGAAUUACUGGGCGUAACGCGCGCGUAGGUGGUUUUGUAAGUUGGAGGUGAAAUCCCCGGGCUCAACCUGGGAACUGCCUCCAAAACUGCAUGACUAGAGUACGGUAGAGGGUAGUGGAAUUUCCUGUGUAGCGGUGAAAUGCGUAGAUAUAGGAAGGAACACCAGUGGCGAAGGCGACUACCUGGACUGAUACUGACACUGAGGUGCGAAAGCGUGGGGAGCAAACAGGAUUAGAAACCCCUGUAGUCC
rnacentral:rRNA from 1 species